rnacentral:rRNA from 1 species
GACGAACGCUGGCGGCCUGCUUAACAUAUGCAAGUCGAGCGAGUGGAUUCCCUUCGGGGAUCAAGCUAGCGGCGGACGGGUGAGUAACACGUGGGUAACCUGCCUUAUAGAGGGGGAUAGCCUUCCGAAAGGAAGAUUAAUACCGCAUAACGUCAGCUUAUCCCAUGGUAGCCUGAUCAAAGGAGCAAUCUGCUAUAAGAUGGGCCCGCGUCGCAUUACCUAGUUGGUGAGGUAACGGCUCACCAAGGCGACGAUGCGUAGCCGACCUGAGAGGGUGAUCGGCCACAUUGGGACUGAGACACGGCCCAGACUCCUACGGGAGGCAGCAGUGGGGAAUAUUGCACAAUGGGGGAAACCCUGAUGCAGCAACGCCGCGUGAGUGAUGAAGGCCUUCGGGUUGUAAAGCUCUUUGAUCAGGGACGAUAAUGACGGUACCUGAAGAACAAGCCACGGCUAACUACGUGCCAGCCGCCGCAGUAACAC